AGUGAACGCUGGCGGUAUGCCUAACACAUGCAAGUCGAACGGCAGCACAGUAAGAGCUUGCUCUUACGGGUGGCGAGUGGCGGACGGGUGAGGAAUACAUCGGAAUCUACUUUUUCGUGGGGGAUAACGUAGGGAAACUUACGCUAAUACCGCAUACGACCUACGGGUGAAAGCAGGGGAUCUUCGCACCUUGCGCGAUUGAAUGAGCCGAUGUCGGAUUAGCUAGUUGGCGGGGUAAAGGCCCACCAAGGCGACGAUCCGUAGCUGGUCUGAGAGGAUGAUCAGCCACACUGGAACUGAGACACGGUCCAGACUCCUACGGGAGGCAGCAGUGGGGAAUAUUGGGCAAUGGGCGCAAGCCUGAUCCAGCCAUACCGCGUGGGUGAAGAAGGCCUUCGGGUUGUAAAGCCCUUUUGUUGGGAAAGAAAAGCAGCAGGUUAAUACCCCGCUGUUCUGACGGUACCCAAAGAAUAAGCACCGGCUAACUUCGUG
rnacentral:rRNA from 1 species